UGCAUUCACUGCUGUAAAUUGCUCUGGAUAAGAGUGUCUGCUAAAUGACUAAAA
rfam:Salmo salar isolate Sally breed double haploid chromosome ssa06, whole genome shotgun sequence.